rnacentral:rRNA from 1 species
GAUGAACGCUGGCGGCGUGCCUAAUACAUGCGAGUCGAGCGAACGGACGAGAAGCUUGCUUCUCUGAUGUUAGCGGCGGACGGGUGAGUGACACGUGGAUAACCUACCUAUAAGACUGGGAUAACUUCGGGAAACCGGAGCUAAUACCGGAUAAUAUUUUGAACCGCAUGGUUCAAAAGUGAAAGACGGUCUUGCUGUCACUUAUAGAUGGAUCCGCGCUGCAUUAGCUAGUUGGUAAGGUAACGGCUUACCAAGGCAACGAUGCAUAGCCGACCUGAGAGGGUGAUCGGCCACACUGGAACUGAGACACGGUCCAGACUCCUACGGGAGGCAGCAGUAGGGAAUCUUCCGCAAUGGGCGAAAGCCUGACGGAGCAACGCCGCGUGAGUGAUGAAGGUCUUCGGAUCGUAAAACUCUGUUAUUAGGGAAGAACAUAUGUGUAAGUAACUGUGCACAUCUUGACGGUACCUAAUCAGAAAGCCACGGCUAACUACGUG